AACGAACGCUGGCGGCAGGCCUAACACAUGCAAGUCGAGCGGGGACUUCGGUCCUAGCGGCGGACGGGUGAGUAACGCGUGGGAACGUGCCCUUUGCUUCGGAAUAGCCCCUGGAAACGGGGAGUAAUACCGGAUGUGCCCUUUGGGGGAAAGAUUUAUCGGCAAAGGAUCGGCCCGCGUUGGAUUAGGUAGUUGGUGGGGUAAUGGCCUACCAAGCCGACGAUCCAUAGCUGGUUUGAGAGGAUGAUCAGCCACACUGGGACUGAGACACGGCCCAGACUCCUACGGGAGGCAGCAGUGGGGAAUCUUAGACAAUGGGCGCAAGCCUGAUCUAGCCAUGCCGCGUGAGCGAUGAAGGCCUUAGGGUUGUAAAGCUCUUUCGUGGGGGAAGAUAAUGACGGUACCCCAAGAAGAAGCCCCGGCUAACUCCGUGCCAGCAGCCGCGGUAAU
rnacentral:rRNA from 1 species